GCUCUUACGGCUGGGAAACGGCAAGUGGCCAGUACAGCCAGAGGUGCAGGGGCGAGAGGGGUGUGGCGGAUGAGGCUGGGCACCAGCGUACAACUCGUGUCUGACCCCAGUUCGGGAACAUCGGUUAGGUGGUUCUUGCAAGUGUUGUGAGGAGUAGAUUCAGGGUAGAAAUGCCCCCCCUUUCCCCCUCCCUUAUCCUGCACUCUACUCCUCUUCCCGGAAAGGCGUGCUAAGCUCUGGACCAGAAGAGGCAGCAGUGGCCCUCUGCUCUGCAAACUGUGCAGGCUCCUCUGCUCCCUGGGUGGUUUUGUUACUUUGGAUCAGUUAAAACCCAGAGACAGGCCUGUGCCCAGGACUGUAAGUCAUGGCCUUGGCUUGCUGUAGCCAUUCGGCUGCUUUUCACUUUGCCCUUUUCAUUCCAUGAUCACGACAACCCAGUUAAUUAAGGGAAAAAUAACCCACCAACCUGUUUCAUCCCUUACACUUGUCUUCUCCAUAUUUGCUUUAAAAGUUAAUAUUUCCUCGCAAUUUUUGUGUUUUUAUUUGGGCAGAGAGAACAACAGGUCCUCUUCUAAAAUUGAAAUAAAAAGACACAGAAAACACAGCAUGCCUACUAAUUCUCUAGACAUGUCAGAAGAAGAGUGGAAACGGAUACUUGAAUCAGACUUCUCUAUCUCAUUAGUCAUUAGGUUUUAGGCAUUUAUUUGGAUGGAUCCCUUUGCCCAGCACCUUUGAAAUACCACUUACGUGUUUUGAGAAACUGGUGAGCUCUGUGAGGAAAUAGUUCUGGGCAGGGGCCAGCCAAAGGAGGCGUUGGCCGUUUGCUUUAAUUCCAGAGUACUUUGUAUUUCUGUCUUGUAGCUCUCAGCAGAGACUGGCCCAAAGCACAGUGCUCGAUCUUGUCCCCACUCCCUGCCCCCAUCUCAAGUCAACCUUGAGAAAGUUCCAGCUUGUUGGCAAAGGCACACGUUCUGCUCUACUAUAAGUUUCGCUAGAAAUUCAAGUCCUCCGGGGCCCUGUUCCCUUGUGGGGUUGUGAAACUUUGACUUUGCUUCUUGUCCUCCCUUCUGAAACCAAGUACAAGGAAAUUCAUGGGUUUGGGGAGAGAGAGAGAUGGGAACCCAACUGGGCACGGGAUACAAGGAUAAAACUGUGGCGCCCCAAAAGAGGCCUGCUCUGCCAACAUACAUAAAUACAUAUAGUCUGAGCUUGACACUGUAAUUUGGCCCAGAACAAUAUGUAUUUUGAACUCCUUUAGGUGAAUGGCUUUGGCAUUCUGAGUACCCUGGGGGAGCCUUUAUCGGGCUGCAUUUGCCUUGUACAGAAGUAUGCCUUUGUUCUGAGAAGUGGCCUCAGAACACACUCUGGAGCUGUCUCCUUUAGUGAGUGUCAUCCUCUCUCAUCCAUGUCAAAAGACCUGAGGAUGCAAUCUUGAAAUCCUGCUUGCAGGAAAUGCAGAGAUUGGGCAUGGAGGAGAAAAUCUAUGUAGUUUUGCUUUUAGUUUUUCCAAACCUCACUGUUUACAUCUUUUUUUUUUAUGUAACCAAGCCAUAAUUACAUUUUACUUGUUGUGGUGCAAUCUGAUUGUAUUGUUGCAGGACUAUUUUUGAACCUGUCCAAAUAAACUCUGCAAAGUAUUUCCACAAGGAUGGACUCCAUGAGGCUACAACAGCCUUCCUCCUGACUGAUGAAGAAACAGACUUUGAAAGAUAAAUGAACUUGCCCAAGGACAAACAGCUACGAGGUGAUCCAGGAGGGGUUUUACUGAUUCCAGAACCCAGAUUCAACUACUCUGCUGUGCUGGGCGAAAGCCAUUUAAACUGGGAAGGUUCAUUCAAAGUGGUUUGAUCCAGUUUAAACCUGAUUUGACAGAAACCUGAUUGAACCAAGUUGAAAUUGAUCAGAGUCAGUUUCAUUGAGUUUCAAUUGAUAAGAAUAAGUUGAUAAGAUUUUUAAAUCAGCCAUGUUUAUUAAAAAGUAAUAAUAAUUCCUGUGUUCAUUAAUCAGAAACAUAGUUAUCAACCGGAGCUCCAGGUCAGCGAUACUGAUGAGUUUUGCUAUAUCCUUAGAAAUGUAAUAACCCAUCAUGACUUCUUAUUGACCUGUGCAUCUUAAAAACUAGAUACACUUCCAGUUAGGUUUUCUUUUUUAGGCAUGAUUUACGCACAGUAAAAUGUACCCACCACUAGGUGGAAAAUGGAAAGAAAACUUUUCUAUAAUGUAUACUGAUGAUAUUUACUACUUUUAUAUUUUACUUUUAGAGGGUUAAAUAUUUUGGUAACUUUUGAUUUUUAUGUAAUUCUACACUUACAGAAAGGUUGUGGAAAUAAUACAAGGACCUUCUUUGUACCCUUUACCCAUGUUCACCAUUGUUCACAUGUUUUUCCUUAUUUAUCUUUGUGUGUGUGUGUGUGUGUGUGUGUGUUUGUAUGUUUUGAACCAUUUGAGUGUAAGCUGGAGACAGCAUCCCCAUUUACUUCUAAAUACUUCAUUGUACAUUUUCUAAGAAUAAGAACAGUAUCCUAUGUAACCAAGUGCAGUUACCAGAAUCAGGAAUUUAACAUGGAUACAAUAGUAUUAUUUAAUCCACAGUACCUAUUCAAAUUUUGUAAAUUGUCGAAGUAAUAUAUUGUCUAGUUAUUUUCCCCAGUCCAGGAUCAUGCACUGUAUUUCAUUGUUGAGUCUCUUUCUUUAAUCCAGAGUUCAUCAGCCUUUUGUCUUGAUCUUGACAUUAUUAUUGUUUUUUAAUCCCACCCAAGGAUAUGUUCAUUGAUUUCAGAGAAAGGGGUGGAGAGAGAAAGAAACGAGAGAGAAAUACCAGUUGCUUCCCGUACACACCCCAACUGGGGAUCGAACCCACAACCUUUUGGUGUACGGGACGACGCUCCAACGGAGCCACCUGGCCAGGGCUUGACCUUGACAGUUUUGAAGAGUACAAGCCAGUCAUUUUGUACAGUGUUUCUCAGUUUGGGUUUGAUAUUUCCUCGUGUUUGGCGUUCAGGUUUUACAGUGCUGGCAGAGCUGUUGAGGUGUCCUUUUCAGUGUGUCAUAUGCUGUCCAUCUGUCUCUACAUUAAUGAUGUGGACUUCGAUCACUUGCUCAAGUUGUGUUUGCAUGGUUUCUCCACUAUACAUUUACUAUUUUUCUCUGUAAUUAAUGAGGAAAUUCUGGGGAGAUUCAUUUGAGACUGUAACUCCUUAUCAAAACAUCAUUAGUUUUAGCAUGCAUUGGUGAUUUUCUAAAUUCAUUAUUCUUUAUCACUUGACGUUUUGUGAGGAAGACCUUUCCCUUCUCCCCCAAAUAUUUGUUCGUUUAUUUAUAUCCGUGUGGACUUGUGAAUUUUCAUUUUAUUAAACCGAUUAUAAGCCA